CUCGGGCCUUGUACACACCGCCCGUCACACCACGGAAGCCGGCAACACCCGAAGUCGGUGUGCUAACCCUUUUAGGGAGGCAGCCGCCGAAGGUGGGGUUGGUGACUGGGGUG
rnacentral:rRNA from 1 species